UACCCGCAGCACAAGUGGUGGUCAUUAUUAUUGGGCCUAAAGCAUCCGUAGCCGGUUCUACAAGUCUUCCGUUAAAUCCAACUGCUUAACAGGUGGGCUGCGGAAGAUACUAUAGAGCUAGGAGGCGGGGAGAGGCAAGCGGUACUCGAUGGGUAGGGGUAAAAUCCGUUGAUCCAUUGAAGACCACCAAGUGGCGAAGGCG
rnacentral:rRNA from 1 species